AAUAAAAUGGCCGAAUAAUAAGCGAUAAAUUGUAAAUUUAUUAAUGAGAAUAUUCUCUUUUAUUA
rnacentral:tRNA from 1 species